rnacentral:rRNA from 1 species
GUGGGGAAUCUUCCGCAAUGGACGAAAGUCUGACGGAGCAACGCCGCGUGAGUGAUGAAGGUCUUCGGAUUGUAAAGCUCUGUUAAUCGGGACGAAAGAGUUCUGUGUGAAUAAUGCAGAAAAGUGACGGUACCGGAAUAGAAAGCCACGGCUAACUACGUGCCAGCAGCCGCGGUAAUACGUAGGUGGCAAGCGUUGUCCGGAAUUAUUGGGCGUAAAGCGCGCGCAGGCGGCCUAUCCAGUCUGUCUUAAAAGUUCGGGGCUCAACCUCGUGAUGGGAUGGAAACUAGUAGGCUAGAGUAUCGGAGAGGAAAGCGGAAUUCCUAGUGUAGCGGUGAAAUGCGUAGAUAUUAGGAAGAACACCAGUGGCGAAGGCGGCUUUCUGGACGAAAACUGACGCUGAGGCGCGAAAGCCAGGGGAGCGAACGGGAUUAGAUACCCGGGUAGUCC